AAUCAACGCUGGCGGCGUGCCUAACACAUGCAAGUCGAACGCGAAAGCCCCUUCGGGGGGUAAGUAGAGUGGCGUCCGGGUGAGUAACACGUAGGUAAUCUACCUUCGGGUGGGGAAUAACUCGCCGAAAGGCGAGCUAAUACCGCAUAAUGCAGCGGCACCUAAUGGUGAUUAGUUGUUAAAGCGGGGGAUCGUAAGACCUCGCGCCUGAAGAGGAGCCUGCGGCAGAUUAGCUAGUUGGGAGGUAAUGGCUCACCAAGGCUUCGAUCUGUAGCUGGUCUGAGAGGACGGCCAGCCACACUGGCACUGACACACGGGCCAGACUCCUACGGGAGGCAGCAGUGGGAAAUUUUGGGCAAUGGGCGCAAGCCUGA
rnacentral:rRNA from 1 species